GUCAGCGUUUAUAGGGAUAUAACACUGACUUGUAAUCAGUAGGUCCCGAGUUCGACUCUUGGUGCCGGCA
rnacentral:tRNA from 1 species